rfam:Schistocephalus solidus strain NST_G2 genome assembly, scaffold: SSLN_scaffold0000369
GGCCUCGUAGCUCAGUUGGCUAGAGCGUUGGCUGGCCUAAAGCCUUCCCCUUGCUGACGUGAGUUCGAAUCCCACCGAGGCCG